rnacentral:rRNA from 1 species
GGAGUGCUUGCACUCUGUGAAACAAGAUACAGGCUAGCGGCGGACGGGUGAGUAACACGUGGGUAACCUGCCCAAGAGAUCGGGAUAACACCUGGAAACAGAUGCUAAUACCGGAUAACAACAGAUGAUGCCUAUCAACUGUUUAAAAGAUGGUUCUGCUAUCACUCUUGGAUGGACCUGCGGUGCAUUAGCUAGUUGGUAGGGUAACGGCCUACCAAGGCGAUGAUGCAUAGCCGAGUUGAGAGACUGAUCGGCCACAUUGGGACUGAGACACGGCCCAAACUCCUACGGGAGGCGGCAGUAGGGAAUCUUCCACAAUGGACGCAAGUCUGAUGGAGCAACGCCGCGUGAGUGAAGAAGGGUUUCGGCUCGUAAAGCUCUGUUGUUGGUGAAGAA